UAGGGAAUCUUCGGCAAUGGACGAAAGUCUGACCGAGCAACGCCGCGUGAGUGAAGAAGGUUUUCGGAUCGUAAAACUCUGUUGUUAGAGAAGAACAAGGACGUUAGUAACUGAACGUCCCCUGACGGUAUCUAACCAGAAAGCCACGGCUAACUACGUGCCAGCAGCCGCGGUAAUACGUAGGUGGCAAGCGUUGUCCGGAUUUAUUGGGCGUAAAGCGAGCGCAGGCGGUUUCUUAAGUCUGAUGUGAAAGCCCCCGGCUCAACCGGGGAGGGUCAUUGGAAACUGGGAGACUUGAGUGCAGAAGAGGAGAGUGGAAUUCCAGGUGUAGCGGUGAAAUGCGUAGAGAUCUGGAGGAAUACCGGUGGCGAAGGCGGCCCCCUGGACGAAGACUGACGCUCAGGUGCGAAAGCGUGGGGAGCAAACAGG
rnacentral:rRNA from 1 species